CUGAAUCCAUACUCAACUUCCCUGAAUACAUUUUGUACUAUUCCCUCUCCGGUUUCCCUCAUUUUCGUCUUCUUUUUCGGUGAAAAACCUAGCAGAGACUAUGGCGUUUGAUGGAUGGGUGAAGUAAACUCGGUGAUAAAGUAGAUGUAUUGCUGCAGUUUAUCUAUUUCAACACCAACAUUCUACGUGGUUUUUGUAGGAUUCAAUUUGAUUUUAACUUCUGUGGGAAUCGAUGAGAGUAACGAAGUUUAAUUCAAAGAACACACAGGUUAUGGAUUAACUCUUCUUUGGAUUCUAAUGUUUCUGAUAUGGGAACUAAUAGCUUUUGUUAAAAUAAUGCAGGUCAAAGUGGACGAUGGCGAGAAGAUGAUAGGUGCACUCACUAAAGACUAAUAGCAAGACAUCCAUCGAGAGUAGUCCCUACAUUCAUGUUCAGUUUCUUUAUAGACGAUGGUAAUCACUGACUUAGGGUAACUUUUUCGUACUACGUUAUUGUUUGCUUAAUGCGGCUUUUGUAGAAUUAGAUACUAAUUUUCCACUUGCAGACCCUGAACACUUUCAUGGGUUCCUACCAUGAACUUCAGGUAUGUGUGUGUUAUCUAUGCCUCAUAUACAUGCUUCAAAGGUUUCAACUGAGAGAUUCUUACUAUUGGUUUGAUCUCAUUAAUCAUUUUGUAAAACAUAUAAAGUUGAGGAAGGAUUUGAUUAUGGUCAGUUGAAGUACGGUACCUUCAUUGGUUCUUUUAUAUAUUUUUUUUCUUAAAAUCAUCAUGUCCCUCUCCUCUUGGAUCCUCCAUUCCAAAGAGGAGUUGUUCUUAGCAUUCUGUGUGAUUUAAGGAUCAGUUUGGGGAACUCCACAAACAAGGAUUUUUACAGCCCUUAUGAAGUAUUUUUUGACAGUAGGUUAGGAUUGUAUUUCUUUUUAGGAUCAGAAAAGACAUAUUGGAGUGAAUUAUACAUAUAUUGCCUCAAGGGUUUCCAGGGACAAUUCAUCACCGCGUCUUAUAUGUUUCCAUCGACAAAUAUGUUAAAGUAAGUUUCCAACUUCGCUAUCUAAUCCGUUGGCAUCUUCAAGUGGUAGAAUACGGCUUCAGAGUGCCCCAGGGACUGAACUUUAUCGAGAAAGAUUAGUUAAGGCGCUUGCACGAGAAUUACAAGCGCCCUUAUUGGUGCUUGAUAGUAGUGUUCUUUCCCCUUUUGAUUUUAGCAAAGACGAGAGUGAGUUAGAUGAGCCCACGGAAGAGUGUUCUUCACAGUCUGCUGUUGAGGAGGAUAAUGAUGCAAGUAACGAAUAUGAAGUGGCAAGAAAUGAGGGGAAGCAGAAAAUCCUUAGGGCAUUCAUCCCAUUCAGUUCUGAGGAAUUUGCAAAAGUAAGAAAGUUUAAAGAAAAGAUAAGAUUAAAGGAAACUGCCAAGAGGUUAAAGAUCAGAAAAAUAAUGUUGAAACCAAUUAAAUUCUUAGAAAUCUUGUGGUGUUAAAUCAGCAUGUUAUGUUGGAUAGUCCAACUGAGAUUCAUAUAAUCACCAAGGAGUUGGUGAAUAUAUGAGAUAACGUUGACUUGCAAAGCUAAGACAGUAUGAUGUUGGAUACUCCAACUAAGAUAUAUAUAUAUAUAUAUAUAUAACACCAAGGAGUUGUAUAAAGAUAAUAUUGACUUACAUGCAUAUUUGAGCUAAGUAUGUUGCAUCUGAGUCGUAUUCACUUGUUAAAUGC